GACGAACGCUGGCGGCGUGCUUAACAAAUGCAAGUCGAACGAAGUGGCGAACGGGUGAGUAACGCGUAAUCAACCUGCCCUUCAGAGGGGGACAACAGGUGGAAACGACUGCUAAUACCGCCUACUGAGGGAGGGGAUUGCGUCUGAUGAGCUAGUUGGAGGGGUAACGGCCCACCAAGGCGAUGCUCAGUAGCCGGUCUGAGAGGAUGAACGGCCACAUUGGGACUGAGACACGGCCCAGACUCCUACGGGAGGCAGCAGUGGGGAAUCUUCCGCAAUGGACGAAAGUCUGACGGAGCAACGCCGCGUGAGUGAUGACGGCCUUCGGGUUGUAAAGCUCUGUUAAUCGGGACGCGGUACCGGAAUAGAAAGCCACGGCUAACUACGUGCCAGCAGCCGCGGUAAUAC
rnacentral:rRNA from 1 species